UACGGGGGGGCAAGCGUUGUUCGGAAUUACUGGGCGUAAAGGGCUCGUAGGCGGCCAACUAAGUCAGACGUGAAAUCCCUCGGCUUAACCGGGGAACUGCGUCUGAUACUGGAUGGCUCGAGUUUGGGAGAGGGAUGCGGAAUUCCAGGUGUAGCGGUGAAAUGCGUAGAUAUCUGGAGGAACACCGGUGGCGAAGGCGGCAUCCUGGACCAAUACUGACGCUGAAUAGCGAAAGCCAGGGGAGCAAACGGG
rnacentral:rRNA from 1 species